AGUGGCGAACGGGUGAGUAACACGUGAGUAACCUGCCCUUGACUCUGGGAUAAGCCUGGGAAACUGGGUCUAAUACCGGAUAUGACUCCUCAUCGCAUGGUGGGGGGUGGAAAGCUUUUUGUGGUUUUGGAUGGACUCGCGGCCUAUCAGCUUGUUGGUGGGGUAAUGGCCUACCAAGGCGACGACGGGUAGCCGGCCUGAGAGGGUGACCGGCCACACUGGGACUGAGACACGGCCCAG
rnacentral:rRNA from 1 species